GGGGGUGUACUGGUUUCGACGGGAGUUUUCGGAGGUAUGGCAAGCGAGCCGCGGCCCCUGACCGCGUAACAACGGGGACAAACAAUAACUGACAAUAAUAAUUACGCAUUCGCGGCUUAAUGCCGUGCGUCGAUCCUAGUUACCCGCAGAUUAGGGUAUCGGCGUCAUUAAUGUGGGGAACGAGUACGCUAAAGCUUUGAGGCUGUGCCCGUAAUUAUGAAGCUACCGUAGCCACAAGCCCGCUAAGGGGCGUGUGGUGAGGGGAAUCUUAAAUCCUUAGAUGCGCUCGGAGAAAACCAUAUCGGCGUGCUUUCGGACAGGGGUUCAAUUCCCCUCACCUCCACCA
rnacentral:tmRNA from 1 species